CCCUCACCUCAGCCUUGAACACUGCAGCCCCACUCCAAACAUGCACCUUCGAGGAGGACACAACCCCAACCUUGGCAUACUAAAUCAACACGCUAUCUGUAGAGUUGCUCCCGUUGUGCUGAAUGCUCCUGGAGGAACUUUCUCCAUUAUAGAUUCAUAUUGCGUUCAUACAGCACAGCCCUUGCCCUCACCAAACAGUCAUACUUUUCCUCUCUCAUUAGUUCAUGCUCCCGCAAUCCCAAACGUCUCUUUGUCACCUUUAAUUCUCUUCUCUGCCCUGCUGUGGCCACCCCCAAAACUAACCUUACAGCUGAUAGCUUUGCAUGCUACUUUACCGACAAGAUUAACAACUAAAGAAACAAUUCUCCCCUCCUUGCCGUUCUCUUUCUCAACCACAUAUAAAUCAUGCCUUUCCUACCCUUCAGACUUUAUCCCCGGCUACUGAACAAGAGGUGGCUGCGCUUCUCAAUUCCUCUCGCCCCACCACUUGCCGGCUCGAUCCUGUCCCAUCUCACCUCAUCAGAUCUCUCUCUCCUUGUCUUGUGCCUACCCUAACACACAUAUUCAACUGCUCUCUCUCUUCUGGCACUAUUCCUGCUGACCUUAAACAUGCCACUGUAGUACCUAUCCUGAAAAAGCCAUCUUUUGACCCAUCCUCCCCCUCUAACUAUCAUCCUAUAUCCCUGCUCCCUUUCCCAUCAAAGCUUUUACAAAGACUUGUCUUUACCCGUGUGUCUUGCUUCCUCAAUUCCAACUCUCUCCUAGAUCCUCUUCAGUCUGACUUCCGCCCUCUCCACUCUACUGAGACUGCUCUUAUCAGUUACUAAUGACCUAAUCACAGCUAAAUCCAAAGGUCACUAGUACUACUCCAUAUUAAUUCUCCUUGACCUCUCUGCUGCCUUUGACACUGUUGAUCAUGCUCUCCUCCUUCAAACUCUUCAAUCGCUCGGUCUCUGUGACUCUGUUCUCUUAUGGUUUUCCUCUUAUCUCUCCCAACGCUCAUUCAGUGUCUCCUUUUCCAAGGAUACCUCCUCCCCUCGUCCUGUCUCAGUUGAAGUUCCCCAAGGCCCUGUC